GCGGUUAGCUUAGUUGGCAGAGCACGAGACUCUUAAUCUUGGGGUCGUGGGUUUGAGCCCCACAUUAGGCG
rnacentral:tRNA from 1 species